UCAAAAACCUAUCGAUCAACUGCUCUCUCUCUCUCUUGAUCUCUCCAAUCUCCUAUCGCUUGGCCAUGUCUCUUCUAGGGUUCCCAUUUCCGCCGCCUCCCGCCUUCCUCCUCCGCCGCCGCACCUCGCCCUGGCUGCCUCGUGACCCAAACCCGCCACCCCUCUGCCUCUCCCUCUUCCUCUCCCUCGUACUCUCGUCGCCUUCUCCACCUGGACAUGGACGCACCCGCCCCAUUGCGCACGUCUGUGCGUAUUUCCCUGGAACGUCCCCAUGUCGGGAUCCGCCGCCGGCAGUCACUCGAGCGGGUUGGGGGCAUGGAUGCAGCAGCCGCCCCAUUCCCCGCGUCAGUGCAUCCUCGCGUAACCCUAGAGCAUCUUCAAUGUGAGAUCCGCCGCUGCCCGCCGUCUUCACUGCUCGCACGAGCUGAGCCGGCGAGCCCUCGGUUGUCUGCUCCCUCGAUCCCGCCGCUCUCCGUGGUGCCAUCUGUUGUGAAGGCCGCUGUCCACCAUAGAAGGUCGUCGGUCAGUUUGUAAGGGACAUAGUAUAGCUCCUUGUUUACUUUGUUGGUCUGACCUUGAGGUAGUGUAUCUGAUGUCUUGAAUCUUGAUCUGAAAAGAAAAAAACAGUUUUUACAGAAGUAGCAUUUGCAAUUUAGUUAUAUUUUGUUUCAUAUGUAUUCCAAAUUCUCGCUCUUGUGUUAUCUUCAGGGGGGUUCGUGUUAGUCAUCUGAGCAAAGAAAUCUGUUGCCCUUGUGCUAUGUCAUGUAUACUGUUAGACCUCUAUCGUAUAUGUGGCAUAUAACUACACUAUUGGCCUUCUUGAUAUUUUAAGCAUUUCCCUGCUAAGAAGGAUGAGCAAGGAAAUUUCUUCCCUGUUAACAGUAUAGUGGAGCUUCUUCAUUUGUAUUUAUUCAACCUCUAUUCCCAUUCAGGUUGUUUUCUUAAGCUACCUAAAGGAGCUCUCUAUUGACAUCAAUUUAGGAGGGCCAGCAGUAUCCUUGAUUGAGUACAGGUGUGUGCCUCGGCCUCCAGUCUGAAUGAACAACCCUUGUAUUGUCUGGUAGUGACCUAUAUGUGUUUAUGGUUCAUAAGGGAAUAAGAAAGGCCGGUAAGAUCGUCUUCUGUUGGUGAAGGUCUGUGUUAUAGAUUGUUACAACCAUUCUUUAGCUCGAGUUUUUUUAAUUGGAGAAGCCAAAAGAUGGAUUUCACAGGUCGACAAAAAAGGUUGAUGUACAUUUAUAAACCGCCUAGCAUGGAUAAUUACACCCAAUAAACAUUGCAAUGCAUCCAUAGGUUGUUCCGUGAUUUUGUAAUCUGUGACUCUUGAAAACUUGCUUUUAUGUCCUGACUCAAUAUUUGUUUUGACCAUUGGCCUUCCUAGCAGGAUGCUUGCAGUUCCAAUACCAUCAUGACUAAUUUGUGCAGUCCUCAUUUUUUAAUUCUGAGCCUUUUGUGCUUCUUAGUUGUGAUAUAGUUUGAUUAGGAAAGGCAACAACAAAACUACGUCCUGGAAAUGUCAUUCUGCUUGGUCUUACGAGUUUACUGAAUUGAAAAACUCUUGUUUCAAUGUUUUUAAUGCUCACACCAUUAUGUCAAGCAAAAUUAUGGGGUACAUGUCUUUGCUAAUACCUCCAAUUUAUUCUCUGCAGUGAAGAAUCAAGCUUAUCUAUUUUAGGUCAGUGUUUUUUGUAUUCACUAAAUAAUGCCAGGGGUGAAGCCUAAACUAAGCAGUGUGCGUGAGGAAGGCAAGCGUGCUGGCGAGCGUGGGGGCGACCAUGAUGUGGCUCGGAGAAAGGGUGCACAUGGGAUUACUACCCAUUGGGUCUGCAAAUAUGAGAGUGGCAAGGCAUGGGUAUUUAGCUCUAGUUGUGUGUGGGCUGCUCGAGCUGCGCGCCAAUGUGGAGGCCCUGCACCGCCGCCGAUGGGCUGAUUUUGUUGCACGUCGUGGUGGGGACGCCCGUGUGUGCGCUGCUUGUGCUGGGCGCUGAUGUGGACGCCCCAGAUCGGAUGGGACGCCGUUGGAGCUGCCGCGGGAUAUGGUGGUGGUCCGUCGAUGGAGCUGGGAGCAGACGCGGAGGCAAUGGGCUCGACUCUCUGUGUGCAAAUCAUGAUGACUUGGAGCACUGUCAUGGGAAGUUUUUAUUCAUCUUUACCUAUAUUUAUUGGAUUAGGUUCCAUUGGCAGGUGAGAUUCUUAUCCUAAAUGCUUUAUUCUAUUUUUGCCAAGACACUUCUCCUUAAUAUGUUUAAUAUUCAUAAUAAAUUUCUAAUGCAUUUCUAAUUAGGAUUUUUUCUAAUGGUGAUUAAAUCUGUCAUAGCGUCAACAGGUUAAAGACGAUGUACCCUUUUCCCGUUUAGAUACCAACCAUUGCAUUCAGCAGUCAGAUCUGUUGCUUAUUUAUUUGUAGAAUCAAGUGGGUUAAAAGCAUCUAUUAACGACACUUCAAUAAAACACUCUUUUCUUAUUUGUGUGAGUACUAUUUGUUUCACCUUUUGCACCUCAUCAUCAUAGCAUCUGGUUUCAAAAAUGAAUGACUACUUGCGAAGGUAUUGUUUUUAGUUUCUUCUUUUUGGUUCAACUUCUUUGAUUUUCAGUAGUUGGUCCAUUAAUCAUCUAAAAUUUUCAGUAAGAUGUUUCUACAUCAUAUUCUUGAAUGUUCCUGAUUUCACAUCCAUGGUAUCUGCUUUGCCUUAGUACCUGUUCAAGCUUCACUCAUGAUUUGUUGCUUUCUCCCUAUCAGUCUUACCAUUUUGUUUUGCUUGCUUUACCUUGUAGCUUCUUCCAGUAGUUGUUUUUUUCCUUUAUGUCAGAGCUGCUCUGUCACACUUCUUAUGCUUUUACGAUGUCCUAAUAAAAGUUUUGUGUGGGCAGAUAAUUUUUUGCUUACUACAAACCGUAAGAAACUGAAGCUUACUGAUUUGGGGCUUGCACGAGAGGAAACUAUAACUGAAAUGAUGACGACUGAAACUGGGACAUACCGAUAUGGACAUAGAGUUCGUUGAAGAUAGAGGUCUGGCAUUGUAUUGAAGCUCAACUCCGCACGAAAGUGUACAACUUCACAAUCUGAUGGAAAAGAACUUUGGUGAUAUAGGCCAGGGCGGAGGACGUUGUCAAUGGAAAACAUGGCUCCACAUGAAGGUUCACUUGCCAAUAGUCUUCAAGAAGAUGCGAAGGUCAUGGUUUUGUGUUGAUGACCCUUGAAAAAAUACCUUCUCAUUUUCUUGUUUGAAGGAACGCUAGGAGGAAUUGAGGAUGCGAAAAAUGUACGGAGGAAAGGGAGACUAGGAGAGGUGCACGGUGAGGCAUCGACGAAUCCUAAAAGAGAACUUUUGUCACGGUGUUCUCAUAUCCAAACUUGAAUCAAGUAUGCUUUUUGAAUGGCUUGCACUAAAGCAGAUUAUAAUUCUUAUACUUGUGUUUUGAAUUGACUACAUGUUGUCGUCUCCUCUUGUAUACAUCUUCUGUAUCUACGAUUUUGUGAUGGGUUGUUAAGCUACCAUUCAAGGGAAUGCAUGUUGACAAAUGUAUUGAUGCUUCCUUGAGUCUACUAAUAAUAUAUUUGUAAUGUAUUUUUCACUGAAAAAAGCACCACUAAUAGCACGCUGUAGAAUUUUCUAGCUAAAUAAAUCAAUGUACACUGCCUCGCUAAUAGAAUGCCAUAGUGCGAUAUAGCAUGCUAAUAGCGUAUUUUAAGGCCGCUCCUAUUUUGUUAUAGCGCGCUACUUUUUUGAUUGAUUUUUUUAGAGUUUAUCUCUACUCCUAAUGUCUUAGUUGGUAGUCUCCGUUCCACGGUUAAUUUUCGUCCCACCGAUCGUGGUUUUUUUUGUCCUCCCUCCCACCUUCCAGCGAUUCCCUCCUAAACUGCUGCGCUUCGGAUCCACCUGCCACUUCACCGGAGACGAACACUGUCGCGGAUGCGAGUAGAACGGGACCAGACCGAGCACCCGUGCCUGUUUCAGUAAGCUAGCUGCGCCCGUCCUCGUUGGUCGUGCCGCACACAGCUCGUCGGAGCCCCUAGCCGCGCCGAUGCGGUGGUCGGCGGGCGGAGUCGCAUGGUCGACGGUCACGGUGAUGCGGCAGGGGGAGGGGAGAUGGCCGAGAUGUUGGAGUGAGUGGAGAAGAUAGGUGAAUGAGCCACAAGACCGGCCACGGCAUGGGAUUGAUGCGGUGGUCGGCGGGCGGAGUCGCGCGGUUGCGGGGUCGGUGACUCGCACGGCGAUGCGGUGGGGAGAGGGCGAGAGGUGGCGGGUGAGUGGAGAGGACCGGUGAGUGAGCCCCAAGAUCUACAGCGACAUGUGACAGAUCGACGGUCGGCGGGCGGAGUCGCGCGGGCCGGCUCGUCGAGGCACGCGGCGAUGCGGCGGGGGAGGGUAAAGUGCGAGAGGAAUUGAGUGAGUGGAGGGGAUAGUGGUGAGUGAGUGGGGUUAGGGUUGGGAUACGGCGGGGGGAGAGGAAAAGGCGAGGGAUGGCCAGUGAGUCUAGAGGCCAGCGUGCCAGAUGGGCCGUCGAGCCGGCCCGUGAGGCAACUUUGUCAUGCCUGGGCCGGGGAGGCCAGCACGCGUGCCUGUCGGAGAAGUGUCGUGCCUGGCACUACCAAUAUGGAAAUAGGGGUUAUAAAUCACUCUUUUCCACACUAGAUAGUCAAUAUUGAAAAAAUUAGGAACUAAAGCCGAAAUAAAAUGGUUCAUAGUUGUAGUUUCCCGAGUAGAUGCUUCAAAUUAUACUUCAAUUUGUAUGCCCUCGUGAUAAAUUUCCGCCUGAAGUUUCUAGAGCUCACUGAUUUUAGGACCUUCUAUACAAAGAGAAAUCUUAUGCUCUAGAAUUUGUGUAUGAAGCUUGCUUUAAUAACAAUCGCAGAUAUAAUUAUAUUCUUCAAUUAAGUAAUGAUAAUGUAAUAUUACAUCCUGUCAUUUACAAUAAGAUAGACAAGUGACCUUAAGUAUAGGGUUUCAAGCUAUUUAACGCUCAAUGCUUGUUAUAUGAUUCUCCGUGGUAACAUCAACUGAGUUGGCCAUCAUAAUUGGCACUGAACAUCCAAAGUUAAGUUUGUGCUCACCAUUUCACGAUUGUAUUUUUGGUACUGCUAUUUUCAUAUUACUAGUUCGCUGAAGAUAGAGCUCUGGCAUUUUGUUGAAGCUCAACUCAGCAUGAAAGUGUACAACUUCACUGUUAUGUUCUGGCACUUGAAUUUGCUAUGCUUUUCAUGCUACGAAUUUCCUGCUAGAAAUACUUACACAUUCAUUCUUAAAUCAUCUUGUUAUAUGGCAUUGUAGAUCUGAUGGAAAAGAACUUCUAUGAUAUAGGCCAGGGUGGAGGACCUUGUCAAUGGAAAACAUGGCUCCGCAUGAAGGUUCACUCGCCAAUAGUCUUCAAGAAGAUGUGAAGGUCAUGGUUCUGUGUUGAUGCCCCUUGAAAAAAAUAUCUUCUCAUUUUCUUGUUUGAAGGAACGCUAGGAGGAAUUGAGGAUGCGAAAAAUGUACGGAGGAAAGGGAGACUAGGAGAGGUGCACGGUGAGGCAUUGACGAAUCCUAAAAAGAGAAACUAUUGUCACGGUGUUCUCAUAUCCAAACUUGAAUCAAGUAUGCUUUUUGAAUGGCUUGCACUAAAGCAGAGUAUAAUCCUUAUA